UACGUAGGGUGCAAGCGUUGUCCGGAAUUAUUGGGCGUAAAGAGCUCGUAGGCGGUUUGUUGCGUCGGCUGUGAAAUCCCGAGGCUCAACCUCGGGUCUGCAGUCGAUACGAGCAAACUAGAGUGUUGCAGGGGAGACUGGAAUUCCUGGUGUAGCGGUGAAGUGCGCAGAUAUCAGGAGGAACACCGGUGGCGAAGGCGGGUCUCUGGGCAACAACUGACGCUGAGGAGCGAAAGCGUGGGGGAGCGAACAGG
rnacentral:rRNA from 1 species